rnacentral:rRNA from 1 species
GUAGGUGGCAAGCGUUGUCCGGAAUUAUUGGGCGUAAAGCGCGCGCAGGCGGUUCUUUAAGUCUGAUGUGAAAGCCCACGGCUCAACCGUGGAGGGUCAUUGGAAACUGGAGAACUUGAGUACAGAGGAGGAAAGCGGAAUUCCACGUGUAGCGGUGGAAUGCGUAGAGAUGUGGAGGAACACCAGUGGCGAAGGCGGCUUUCUGGUCUGUAACUGACGCUGAGGCGCGAAAGCGUGGGGAGCAAACAGGAUUAGAUACCCUGGUAGUCCACGCCGUAAACGAUGAGUGCUAAGUGUUAGGGGGUUUCCGCCCCCCUUAGUGCUGCAGCUAACGCAUUAAGCACUCCGCCUGGGAGUACGGCCGCAAGGCUG